rnacentral:lncRNA from 1 species
UAGAAUCAUAUUCAAAACAGUGUAGCUGUGGCCAUUGAUUGACAACCUUAAAUUAUCCCAUUGACGGGGGCAGAUUAGGUGAACGUGUGUCUGUAACGACAACUGCUCACUAGUUACUUAUUAUAGAAUUUAAACUGUGGGGUCACCAAAGGUUCUCAACGCCUUUAAUAUUAAAAUAGUUCGAAAAAUUAAUCAGGAAUAACUUUAUGUUUUGAUUUAUAUUAUUGAUAUAAAUCAAAACAUCGUGUUAUUCCUGAUUAGUUUUUCUUAUUUCUUUAUUUAGGUGUUG